UACGUAGGUGGCAAGCGUUAUCCGGAUUUAUUGGGCGUAAAGAGCGCGCAGGUGGUUAAUUAAGUCUGAUGUGAAAGCCUUCGGCUUAACCGGAGUAGUGCAUUGGAAACUGGGAGACUUGAGUGCAGAAGAGGAGAGUGGAACUCCAUGUGUAGCGGUGAAAUGCGUAGAUAUCGCGCAGAACUCCGAUUGCGAAGGCAGCAUGCCGGCUCCACACUGACGCUGAGGCACGAAAGCGUGGGUAUCGAACAGG
rnacentral:rRNA from 1 species